UUGGCUGGCAAGAAAAAGAGGCUGUUCAUGGUCCACAUGACACUAGCUUUUACAUUUUCUUCAACUUUUCCUAGAAAUUUUGCUGAGCAUUUCUUUUAAGCCAUAUCAUAAAGUCAUGAAGAAAAGUUGACUUGUAUUUCUGUGAAGAAGGUGGAAUGAUGAUUCGUAGAAACUUCUUAUGAGAUUGUGCCUUAGUGGUGGACCUUAUGUAUUACCCAGGGAAAUUGGAUUCUCAAUUAUUAUUGCUGCAGAUCUAGGUCAAUCCAAGACUCAAAUGGGGGAUAUUACAAUUAUUUUUCCUUUUUAUUGUAUGGGAAGUUCCUAUUCUCUAAUAGAUAUUAUAAGUCCAAGAGGAUCAAGACGAUUAGGCAUUGUUGCCUUCUUUGAAGGUUGCCAAAAAGAGUCAUUUGGAUGGUCCUCUAGUCUUAGCAUACUCAUGAAGCCCAUCUGUUUUCUUAUUUUUGGGUUGUUUUUGAACAUUUUCAUGGCUUGCUUAGCAGUGGAGGUGGGUAAUAUCACCUAUGCAUCAGUGUGCAGCUGGAUUGGUGUCACUUGUGGUUCUCGCCACCAUAGAGUGACAGCACUUAACCAUGCUCGAGAAGUUGUCUGUUGCACGUAACAACUUCGAAGGAGCAUAGCAACCAUUAUUGGAAACUGUAGAUUGCUCAAGGAAAUAGAUCUCAGCGAUAACAAAUUGACUGGUGGGUUCUCCUCAUCAACAAGCUCCUUAGCAACUCCCAUUUUAUCAUCCAUCCCCAAACUAUGCAAGCUAGCAAUGGACACUCUUUUCCUUGAUGAAUGAAGUGUGGCCCUAUGAACCACACUCUUGUAGAUUCCAUU